AUUGAACGCUGGCGGCAGGCUUAACACAUGCAAGUCGAGCGGUAACAGAGAGACGCUUGCUUCUCUGCUGACGAGCGGCGGACGGGUGAGUAAUGCCUAGGAAUCUGCCUAGUAGUGGGGGAUAACUUGCCGAAAGGUAAGCUAAUACCGCAUACGUCCUACGGGAGAAAGGAGGGGACCUUCGGGCCUUUCGCUAUUAGAUGAGCCUAGGUCGGAUUAGUUAGUUGGUGAGGUAAUGGCUCACCAAGACCGCGAUCCGUAACUGGUCUGAGAGGAUGAUCAGUCACACUGGAACUGAGACACGGUCCAGACUCCUACGGGAGGCAGCAGUGGGGAAUAUUGGACAAUGGGGGGGAACCCUGAUCCAGCCAUGCCGCGUGUGUGAAGAAGGUCUUAGGAUUGUAAAGCACUUUAAGUUGGGAGGAAGAGCAGUUAACUAAUAUUUGACUGUUUUGACGUUACCGACAGAAUAAGCACCGGCUAACCUCGUG
rnacentral:rRNA from 1 species